rfam:Ovis aries breed Texel chromosome 1, whole genome shotgun sequence.
UCCCUGGCAGUCCAGUGGUUAGGACUCUGUGCUUUCACUACCAAGGGCCCAGGUUCAAUCCCUGGUUGGGGAA